UUAAGUAUGUUUUUAAUAGAUGCCAGUCUUCUUAGAUAAGAAAUCUUCAUGUCAGAUGAAUUGUUAAAAUUAUUUUAUAGAUCCUAUUUACAAUAAAUUUGUUUUUUAUAAAGAGCUUUGAAAUCAUCCAGAGAAGCCAUACGUGCUUUUUUGCUAUAUUUUCUUGUGUCUUAAUACUCUAAUACUCUAUUAAAACUCAGCUGUCAACUUUUUAAAAUCUCAAUGACCUUAAUACAUGUUUUGCAUUUUUCUUAGGGAUAGUAAAGCUCUGAAGGAUGAAAAUCUACCUCCUGUCAUCUGCCAGGAUGUUGAAAAUCUCCAGAAAUUUGUGAAGGAGCAGAAACAAGUUCAAGAAGAAAUUAGUAGAAUGUCUUCAAAAGCAAUGCUUAAGGUACAAGAAGAUAUUAAAGCUCUGAAGCAGCUCCUGUCGUUGGCUGCCAAUGGAAUACAGAGAAACACUCUCAACAUUGACAAAUUGAAAAUAGAAACUGCUCAGGAGUUAAAGAAUGCUGAAAUAGCUUUAAGAACCCAGAAGACACCACCUGGACUUCAACAUGAAUAU
rnacentral:sRNA from 1 species